GCUAGACUGCGCACGCGCGCCGCCGCCGCCGAGCACUUGCCUUCGCGAAGGCCCAGUUUCCAAUAAAUGUGUCCUGCACGCCACGCCGUCUGUUUCCAGGACAACCCCGGUGCCUCUUAGCAACUGUCUUAGCGCGGCUGUCUGGGUCCUUUCCUGGCGCCCCCAGUCCUGCCAUGGCGGCCCCGGGUCCCAGUGUCUUCCUGCUUAUGGUCAACGGGCAGGUGGAGAGCGCCCAGUUUCCUGAGUACGAUGACCUCUACUGCAAGUACUGCUUUGUGUAUGGCCAGGACUGGGCUCCCACAGCGGGUCUGGAGGAGGGCAUUUCCCAGAUCACAUCCAAGAGCCAAGAUGUGCGGCAAGCGCUGGUGUGGAACUUCCCCAUCGACGUCACCUUCAAAAGCACCAACCCAUAUGGCUGGCCACAGAUUGUGCUCAGCGUGUACGGACCGGACAUGUUCGGGAAUGAUGUGGUCCGAGGCUACGGGGCAGUGCAUGUGCCUUUCUCACCUGGCAGGCACAAAAAGACCAUCCCCAUGUUUGUCCCAGAAUCCACGUCUAAAUUGCAGAAGUUUACAAGGGCUGUACGAAGGUGGCAGCAUCAAGAGAAGGCAGCUGGGAUCUCCGAUCACUGCUCAGAGGGGCCUGAGCAGGCACUGGACUCCGUGAGAAAUAAACCUGCUUCGUUAAGCCACCAAGUCGUGGAGAGUUGUUACGGCAGUGUAGCCUCGGGCACCCUGCUCUAGCAAACCUCCCCCUGCUGAGUGCUACUUCCCCCCCAACCCCAGUGGACCCCAGGAGGCCAGGGCUUCAGCACAGACAGAGGAUGGGUGUGCAGGGCAGCCUCAGGGCUGAGGUGGGAGCUGAAGCCCGCACCUGAGGGCAAGCCGCAUGCCCACUGCCCCCUUACUGCUGUCCCACCCAGGUCCUGGCCUUUGCCAUACUCUCCUACCAUCAGGACACCUCCUGCAUCUCUGCCUGGAAAGGGGUUUCUCCUUCAGUUAGUGCACCUCCUCUGAACACAGGUCCUGAGAAGGGACGGGCCCUCUGUCCCAUCAGCUAUACCACAGUAAAGUGCACGAGCCACCCAAGAACUAUCUCGAAUGACCAGGUUGUCUGGGCAGCUCCUCAAGGAACAGCCCUCUGGGCACAGGCAUAGAAGAGGAAGCAGAGGCGGGCAGGCACUGAAGACGCGGCCUGGAACUGGCAUGCUGUCAUUGUCCCUCAUUCUAAGCAUCUCGUGGCUAUGCCCAAAGUCCACCGAUGAAGUGCCACCAACGACCCCACCAAUGACAAGGCCACAGUGAGAGAGAUGAGUAUUUUUAAGUCUGCAACGUGUCUGGAGUUGGUGGCUGAGUGGGCCAGGGAUCCCCCAGGGAGCCGCAGGCACAGAAGCACUGCCGCUCCCCAGCGCCCACCAUCUCCGUGCUAUCCCCACCUUCCCC